AACGAACGCUGGCGGCAGGCUUAACACAUGUAAGUCGAGCGCCCCGCAAGGGGAGCGGCAGACGGGUGAGUAACGCGUGGGAAUCUACCCAUCUCUACGGAAUAACGCAUGGAAACGUGUGCUAAUACCGUAUACGUCCUUCGGGAGAAAGAUUUAUCGGGGAGGGAUGAGCCCGCGUUGGAUUAGCUAGUUGGUGGGGUAAAGGACUACCAAGGCGACGAUCCAUAGCUGGUCUGAGAGGAUGAUCAGCCACACUGGGACUGAGACACGGCCCAGACUCCUACGGGAGGCAGCAGUGGGGAAGAUUGGACAAGGGGCGCAAGCCUAACCCAGCCAUGCCGCGUGAGUGAUGAAGGCCCUAGGGUUGUAAAGCUCUUUCACCGGUGAAGAUAAUUACGGUAACCGGAGAAGAAGCCCCGGCUAACUUCGUGCCAGCCGCCGCCGUAAGAC
rnacentral:rRNA from 1 species